UAUGAUAAACUUAUCCUAGUACGAAAGGACCGGAUAAGUGAGGCCAAUACCACUAGCACGCCUUCCUAAAAGUAAUGACCUCAACUAAAUUACUACCAAGACACCAACCACUAACCCUUACGCCUUAGAAAAAGGCC
rnacentral:rRNA from 1 species